rnacentral:rRNA from 1 species
UGAGGAAUAUUGCCCAAUGGACGCAAGUCUGAGGCAGCAACGCCGCGUGGGCGAUGAAGGCCUUCGGGUUGUAAAGCCCUUUUCUGGGGAAGAGGAAGGACGGUACCUCAGGAAUAAGUCACGGCUAACUACGUGCCAGCAGCCGCGGUAAUACGUAGGUGGCAAGCGUUAUCCGGAUUUACUGGGCGUAAAGCGCGUGCAGGCGGUUUCGUAAGUCGGACGUGAAAGCUCCUGGCGUAACUGGGAGAGGUCGUUCGAUACUGCGGGGCUUGAAGUCGGGAGAGGGACGUGGAAUUCCCGGUGUAGGGGUGGAAUGCGUAGAUAUCGGGAGGAACACCAGUGGCGAAGGCGACGUCCUGGCCCGCACCUGACGCUGAGACGCGAAAGCGUGGGUAGCAAACG